CCUACGGGUGGCAGCAGUGGGGGAUAUUGCACAAUGGGGGAAACCCUGAUGCAGCGACGCCGCGUGGGUGAAGAAGUAUUUCGGUAUGUAAAGCCCUAUCAGCAGGGAAGAAAGAAGACGUUACCUGACUAAGAAGCCCCGGCUAACUACGUGCCAGCAGCCGCGGUAAUACGUAGGGGGCGAGCGUUAUCCGGAUUCACUGGGUGUAAAGGUAGCGUAGACGGCCGUGCAAGCCAGUAGUGAAAGCCCGGGGCCCAACCCCGAGACUGCUAUUGUAACUGUGCGGCUGGAGUGCGGGAGGGGCAGGCGGAAUUCCUGGUGUAGCGGUGAAAGGCGUAGAUAUCAGGAGGAACACCGGCGGCGAAGGCGGCCUGCUGGACCGCGACUGACGUUGAGGCUCGAAAGCGUGGGGAGCGAACAGGAUUAGAUACCCCGGUAGUC
rnacentral:rRNA from 1 species